GAUGAACGCUGGCGGCGUGCCUAAUACAUGCAAGUCGAGCGAACGGACGAGAAGCUUGCUUCUCUGAUGUUAGCGGCGGACGGGUGAGUAAAACGUGGAUAACCUACCUAUAAGACUGGGAUAAAUUCGGGAAACCGGAGCUAAUACCGGAUAAUAUUUUGAACCGCAUGGUUCAAAAGUGAAAGACGGUCUUGCUGUCACUUAUAGAUGGAUCCGCGCUGCAUUAGUUAGUUGGUAAGGUAACGGCUUACCAAGGCAACGAUGCAUAGCCGACCUGAGAGGGUGAUCGGCCACACUGGAAUUGAGACACGGUCCAGACUCCUACGGGAGGCAGCAGUAGGGAAUCUUCCGCAAUGGGCGAAAGCCUGACGGAGCAACGCCGCGUGAGUGAUGAAGGUCUUCGGAUCGUAAAACUCUGUUAUUAGGGAAGAACAUAUGUGUAAGUAACUGUGCACAUCUUGACGGUACCUAAUCAGAAAGCCACGGCUAACUACGUG
rnacentral:rRNA from 1 species